CCUACGGGAGGCUGCCGUGAGGAAUAUUGGUCAAUGGCCGCAGGGCUGAACCAGCCAAGUCGCGUGAGGGAUGACGGUCCUAUGGAUUGUAAACCUCUUUUGUCAGGGAGCAAAGGGCGCCACGUGUGGCGCUUUGCGAGUACCUGAAGAAAAAGCAUCGGCUAACUCCGUGCCAGCAGCCGCGGUAAUACGGAGGAUGCGAGCGUUAUCCGGAUUUAUUGGGUUUAAAGGGUGCGCAGGCGGAAUGUCAAGUCAGCGGUAAAAUUUCGGGGCUCAACCCCGUCGUGCCGUUGAAACUGGCGUUCUUGAGUGAGCGAGAAGUAUGCGGAAUGCGUGGUGUAGCGGUGAAAUGCAGAGAUAUCACGCAGAACUCCGAUUGCGAAGGCAGCAUACCGGCGCUCAACUGACGCUCAUGCACGAAAGCGUGGGUAUCGAACAGGAUUAGAUACCCGAGUAGUC
rnacentral:rRNA from 1 species